CAUAUAAAGAGAAGCAGACCAAACGUAAAUUUGACAAACACAUAGAUAAGAAUAACUAAUAUCUCCAUUUCUUUUACUCCAACUCAAAGUCAAAUAUUGCAUCUCUUUUUUUUUUACUGUCGCAACAUUAACGCACACACUGACAAAACCGACCAUGAAGCAGACGCCAUUUUGCUAAGCUACAAAAUAAGCGACAUAUGGCGAUGUAAACAAACAAGGUGCCGUGUUUCUUUAAUUUAUUUUUGUGAAUCGUUGUGCUUUAAUGUGCCAAAAAGACUGAAACAAGAUGGUGAAGUGUAGUGCGAAAAUGUGCGAAAACGCAUCUUAUAAGAAAACACCCGAUAUUAGUUUCCAUCGUCUUUUACAGGUUUCCAAAAAAUAUCAAUUUGAAAAAAGCAUGGUUGUCUAUGAUGAAGAGACAAAAUUGGCAGCCCAAAUCAUCUAGUGUGCUGUGUUCAAAGCAUUUCGAAGCUCACUUGAUAGAUAGAAGUGGUUUCCGUACAGUGCUUAAAUCUGAAGCGAUCCCAACAAUUUUUGAUUCAUUGCAAGAUCAAGAAGAUAUACCGACAUUACCACAAACAGGAGGAAGUGCUGGAGAAGAUCUAGCUAUCCAUAAAGUGUCCAAUGUACAGCCAACCUCUAAAAUACAUACUCAAUAUAUAAUACAAGAAACACAAGACAGGCAAUAUGGAAUUUUACAGGAAAUUCAAAAUAUACAGUCAUGUAACAUACCUACAGUACCACUAAAAGCUGUACCAGGAGGAAGUGCCGGAGAAGAUUCUGUUGUCCCCAAUGUGUUCAAUGUACAGCCAAGUACCUCUACAAUACAUUCUCAAUAUGCUGAAGACAACCGAAGAAAAGAAGAAGAAAUAAACAAAUUGAAACAUAAAACUUUCCUCAAGAAUAAAAAAAUAAAAGCACUGAAACAACAAAAUAGACGGCUUAAAAAUAAAGUUACAAAAUUUUCUGACAUAAUAUCCAGUUUAAAAAAGAAAUUAAAUCAGGACGAAUUUCACAUUAUGUCAGGAAUGAAUAUACAAAACAAAGAUUUCUUUGUCAGGUAUUUAAAAAAAGCAAAAAGCUCCACUGUGAGCAAAUCAUUUUCCCCAGAAUUGAGGGCUUUUGCUCUACAAUUAAAUUUUUAUUCUCCCAGAGCAUAUCAUUUUGUAAGAAAUUCUUUUAAUACGGUUUUACCUCACCCAGCUACAUUGUCACGCUGGUAUAAAAAAGUUGACGCGGAACCAGGGUUCACCUCGGAGAGUUUUGAUACUUUGGAGGCAUUAGCAAAAAAUUGCACCCACGAAGUUAUCGUUAAUUUAAGCUUGGACGAAAUGGCUAUACGAAAAGGGUUAGUAUGGGAUGGGACCGAAAAUAAAUUCAAAGGUUAUGUCGAUACAGGCACGAAUGUCACCGACGAUAGCCUACCUUUAGCCACACAGGCUUUAGUUUUGUUGGUAACAGCUGUAAAUUUUAAUUGGAUACUUCCAAUUGGAUAUUUUUUCAUACAUGCCAUGACAGGUGUACAGCGAGCAAAUGUUGUUAAAAUGGCACUUCGAAUGUUAUUUGACAUUAAUAUUAUUGUUUGUGGCUUGACAUUUGAUGGUGCUGCAUCCAAUAUCGCUAUGGCGACACAUUUAGGGUGUAAUUUUGAUUUGAAAAAUCUAAAACCGUAUUUCUUGUUUGAUAAUAGAAGAAUAAAUGUAUUUUACGACCCCUGCCACAUGAUUAAGCUUAUACGAAAUACUUUUGGUGAAUUUGGAAGCUUAAUCGAUAAAGACGGAAAAUUGAUAAACUUUAAAUAUCUCGGUCUACUACUAGAGCUACAGUCCGAAAAAGGGUUACAUUUAGCGAACAAAUUAAAACAGGCACAUAUUUUGUUUGGAAAACAAAAAAUGAAAGUUCGUUUGGCCGUGCAAUUACUAAGCAAAUCCGUGGCCGACGCACUUUCAUUUUGCAAUGCAAAUAGAUUUGAACAAUUCAGUGGGUGUGAAGCGACCAUACGAUUUAUUAAUAUUGUUAAUGACGCAUUCGAUAUUUUAAAUAGUCGGUCUACACUAGCACCUGGGAAUAAAAAAGCGUUGUGUAGUGCCAAUAUCCAAAAGGCUAAAGAACAGACAGAAAUUUGGCAGGAUUAUUUAAGUAAUUUAUUGUUACCAAACGGCAAUUUAGUUGUAGAGUCAGCCCGUAAAACAGGAUUCGUAGGUUUUAUUGUUUGCCUGCACAGUGCGCUCAAUAUGUACGAUGACUUGGUCACUAAAGGAAAGUUAAGGUUUUUGACUGUAUACAAAAUCAGCCAGGAUUUUUUAGAAAUGUUUUUUGGGAAAAUGAGGGUUAGGGGUGGGUUUAAUGACAACCCUAAUGUAGUACAAUUUAAAUCUGCAUAUAAAAAAAAUAUUAUCAGAAUUAAAAUUAAGAUGCAAUCGGAUGGUUUCCUAAUUCCAAAUUCAAUAUUGACAGUAAGUUCCACCAAAAAGGCAAUAGACACUAUGAACGAAACAACACCAAGCUUUGAAAAAAACAUAAUGGAACUUUAUAAUUUAAAUGAUGAAGACUUUGAUUGUUUUUUAGAUAAUAUUAUGUCAAACCAGUUAGAUGAUUAUACGCAUCAUGUCACUGUCUAUAUCGCAGGUUUCAUAGCAAGAAAAAUUAUAAAAGUGGUUACUUGUUAUGUAUGCCAAAUGCUUAUGCUAGGAGAAAAAGAAAAUUUUUUCAACUCGUUAAUUAAUAUAAAGGACAGAGGAGGCUUAAUAUACCCCUCAACUGGAUUAAUAAAAAUCAUUUAAUCGUGCGAAAAGUUUUUGAAAAUGUUUAAAGGAAAUGUAAAUAUUAAUAGUUUAAUUAUGUACAUAGCUGAUUCAUCAAAUUAUUGUGUUGGUUUAAAAACUAACGAUGAUCAUGAUUGUAAUCAUUUGCAUUUAUUAGUUAAGGUUAUUGUUAAGUUUUACGUUGAUUUAAGAAUGAAGCAUGACGCGAAACAAAGCAAUUUAUCAGAUAGAAAUUACUUAAAAAAAAUGAUUUUGUUUAAAAAUAAAUAAUUAAACAUUUA